rnacentral:rRNA from 1 species
UACAGAGGUCUCAAGCGUUGUUCGGAUUCAUUGGCGUAAAGGGUGCGUAGGCGGCGCGGUAAGUCGGGUGUGAAAUCUCGGAGCUUAACUCCGAAACUGCAUUCGAUACUGCGGUGCUUGAGGACUGGAGAGGAGACUGGAAUUCAUGGUGUAGCAGUGAAAUGCGUAGAGAUCAUGAGGAAGACCAGUGGCGAAGGCGGGUCUCUGGA